UAUAUUGCAUACGUGAACAAAAUAUUAUAUUUUAAUUAAUAUCUUUGAAAUUCUUAUUAUCAAUAGUCAAUAAAUGCAAAUUUUGUUGCAAUAGUUUUUCAUUAAAAAAAUAUAUUAAUUACAUAAAGUGAAUUUAAUACAAGGAUAUUCUGUAUUAAAAGAAAAAAAAAUCAGCGUUAAAAAGAAUUUAUUAUACAUAUCUCGAGAUAAAAAAAUAUUUUUAAUGAGAACAAAAAGUUAUCUAUAUUUGAUUUAGAAAAACUUUUAAAUUUUAGCGCGUGAAAUGAGAUUCAAAAUCGAAUUUUGAUUGGCUCACUUUAUGUCGAUAUAUCGAUAUAUCGAUACUUCGCAUUGUAACUCGAUCCUUUGCCAAAUUCAUGUGGUUCAACGGUUCCGCAACGUGUAAUUUGAGAGCUUAAUUUGUUGAUUAUUUAAUUAUGUAUUAUAACAAUAAGUUAAUAUAAUUUUGUAAACAGUGAAAAGGAUAACAAGCAAAGAAUUAGUGCGAGCAUGUACACAAGUACGUAACUUAAAGCAUAUACAUAUAAAUUUGUUUGCAAGAUAAGAUCGAUCCGGGAAGGAUUAUUCGUUCUGUGUGUGUUCAAAAAGAACAUUAAGUGUAUUAGAUUUCACAUGUUCCGUACGGCAAAAUUCGCCAAUUAUAAUUCUCAGCGUUAUUGUGGUCCGUAAUAAGCUCGAUAGUAUUGGGACAUCAUUACCCGGCCAUUCCGCUUGUUUGUGAGAUUAAGCUUAAGGAAAUUAGGAAGAAAAGACGCUUAUAUACAUAUACAUCUCUCGGAGGCUUCGAGAAGAAGAGUGAAUCGUGUCCUUGACUUUUAUGCGACGAAAUACGCAGAUUAAAAAAUGCCGAGCGAAUAAUUUCCGUGUUCUACGUUGGGAGUGCCGUUACAAAGUGCCGCGCGUUGUCAUUCGUUGAUUUUUAUACGUGAUCGCGUAAUUAACCGUGUUUUUGCGAAUGUUUUAUGUGAGUGCUACGAGCAGCAAAGAUGACCAACAAAAAAAGAGGAGGAGGAGACCUGGGGAGGCAUCGGGCAACAGCGGAGCAGCCGUGAGAUCAACAUGUGCACUACAACUCUGAUGCUGUGCGUCGUACUGGGUAAGGACAAGGGUGUGCUCGGGACUGCCUCGCAAUGCAAUUUGCCGAAAACGUGGCGCGAUCACGACGAGCGGAAACGCGGAAGGGGUCGUCCUCGAUCCGACGACGAGACGGCACUAACCGUGUCGGAUGAAGCGCUUGAUGUAGACUACUGCGAGUCGGGCCGAGUGACUUUCAAGGAGUCUGCGCAGCCGUCGUCCAUCACUAUUCGCUGAGGCUCUCCUACCUCUGGUCGCGCUUCUUCCAUUUUUUUCCCCUUGCGAAGUUCUUUUCUUCCCCCAAAUAUUUGAGAUAUUUAGAUUAUUCGGUAAUAGAAUAUACAUAUAUAUGUAUAGGUGUAAGA